rnacentral:rRNA from 1 species
UACGUAGGUGGCAAGCGUUGUCCGGAAUUAUUGGGCGUAAAGCGCGCGCAGGCGGUCUUUUAAGUCUGAUGUGAAAGCCCACGGCUCAACCGUGGAGGGUCAUUGGAAACUGGGAGACUUGAGUACAGAAGAGAAGAGUGGAAUUCCACGUGUAGCGGUGAAAUGCGUAGAGAUGUGGAGGAACACCAGUGGCGAAGGCGACUCUUUGGUCUGUAACUGACGCUGAGGCGCGAAAGCGUGGGGAGCAAACAGG